rnacentral:misc_RNA from 1 species
ACAAACUUGGUCAUUUAGAGGAAGUAAAAGUCGUAACAAGGUUUCCGUAGGUGAACCUGCGGAAGGAUCAUUACCGAGUUAGGGUUGCGUCCUGCGCGCCCGACCUCCCAACCCUUUGCUUACUUGACCUAAUGUUGCUUCGGCAGGCCCGCCGCCCGGUCACACGGGCGGCCGCCGGGGGUCCUUACCGACCUCGGGCCCGUGCCUGUCGAUGGCCCUUAUUAAAACUCUUUGUUAAAACGUGUCGUCUGAGUACACCAAAACAAAUAAAUUAAAACUUUCAACAACGGAUCUCUUGGUUCUGGCAUCGAUGAAGAACGCAGC